UUUUUUUUCAAUUAAGCACCUUUAUCCAUCAAACAGAAGCUAUUAAGUAUUAAUAAUUUCAGGUAGGAUUCAGCUCCUGGUACUGUUAAACCUUACCUGGAAGAUGCAACAUAAAUCAUAGGUUGUUUUCAUAAACCAUAAAGUAGUAGUAUUUUUCCUGAGCAAUAGGGAACUAGCCAUAAACCAGGGCUUAAAAUAACAUAACAAGUUUCCCUUUGGUUUAAUUGGUACUCAAACCACUCAGAAGAUUAGUCUUAACAGACAUUUUCCCCCAAAUGUAAACAAUACAGAAAUACUGAAUGCUGGCUAUGAACAAGAACAUCAAAACGAUCUAUUUUUGAACAUUUUUCACCAGUUUGUUUUUUGCCGUCACUUUCCUGCAACAAGAAAGGUCUGCAAAUGAUUAAGUGUCUUCUAUUGGCAUUGCCCAGAUUAUUGUAUUUGAACUUUUUGCUGGUAUAGGAACAAUUCUCACAGGGUGUUGGUGAUUGAGCUAUUAGAUACCUGGACUGCAUCAUCGUAGUUGUUUGCUCACAUUUCAAGGGGACUAUUUGAGGAAGGAAAAAGAAAUGGGUGCCCUGUUUCAGAGUCUCCUGCAACACUGAACAUUAUUCUGGGAGAUACUUCAUGUUCAUAGUUCUUGAUUCACAGGAGUUUCUUUGAAACAAGCCUACUUGAUUUCAUCCUUUUGGUGAUGUCCACUGUUUACAACCCAGGACACUACCAUAAUAAAAAAAAUAAAUCUUAUGGAAAAGAGAAAAGGAAAAUGCAUGGUUUGCAACAUUAUAAAGUAUAAUACGAUUUCCUGUGUUCUGUAACACAAUAAGAUCCUUUGAUAAUAAAUUCCAGAGGAAAUCUGGUGGGGAACAGAUUGCUCAGUUGUGAAAUCUAGGUUAAUGUUGGCUUCUACUUAAUGCUUUUCAUGGCGUUACAAGAUCAAAUUGCUAAAACUCACAAUAAAAAGUAGAAUCUAGCAAUUUUUACCAAGACAAAGUGAGAAAAUCCUAGUGGUAUCUUUGUAAAACAGUAACAAAUACUUCAGGUGUGUAAUAUAGUCUCCUUCCACAUAUAAGAGGAAAUCGGUGCUGAACUGGCUAAGUAUGUGGAAAAGAAGUAUAAAACAUUUGGGAUUAAGCCAGGUGGUCGUCUGCUUAGGAAGAACACGUUUCUGCAGAAAGAUAUUAAACGUGUUAUUUGUGGAAAAUCCACUUGUUGAAAUGUCACUUUGGUCAAAAUAUUUGCAGAUCAGAAUCUGUAAUCUGACUGUGUGGGUGGGAUGGUUGUGCUGGAGUAUACCUUCAUCAUGAUUUACAAUGUAAACUGCUUUGCAUUUACCAUUUUCUGAGGUUUGUAUCUAUGUUUGAUCAAAGGUAUCAGAACCAUCACUUUUACAAACAAGUAUCUGACAAUAUAAGUAUAUACUAAAGGAUACAGUUCAGAAUCAGCCGAGCAAGUUUACAUGUAUUUCAAAAUAGGGAAAAUCUGCUAGUUUAUAACAUAAUGGAGUAACACGUUUUUCAUGUUUUCUUGAAGCACGAAUCACGAUUACGUGCCUAAUUUUUUAUAAAUAUGAUUUAUAUCUUUGAUUUCCCUAGUUUUUUUUGUCAACGUAUGCCAUAUUUCCAAUAGUUGUCUAUUGAUUACAGUGUACUUGAGUUUUACAGUCUAAUUGUCCUCAGAAUCACUGAACUACUACGAAGUAAACACCUUAUCUUCUCACUACCCCUCCCCCAAAGACCUAUGUUAUGACCACACUGAAGACAUGAAUUUUGCCAUUAGUAGCUCUAAUAAACUCUUAGGAAAAUGUAUGCUUAAAAUAAUUUAUAUUGUCAGUGCAAAGGCAAUUUCUUAUAGACAGGUAAUGAAGGUGAUCAACCACUUUAUUAGGGUAUAUUAGGAGUGAAUUCAUGGAUAUGAACUUCCUUGAAUGCAUCAUGAUUGUAUUCAGAUGCAACAGUUAAUAUAUCUUUGAAAUAACAAUCCUCUUCCUUACAUAAUAGCAAAUAACUAAUGUAUAUGAAGCAUUGGUACAUUAUUUUUAAUGCAAAAUUUCUUAAAUCUUGAUUCCUAUAUAGUAAAAUCUAUAAAAACAAGAAAAAUAAAAAUUACCAGUUUAAUGGACAAUAAGGACAGUUGAAGUAUGUGUCUUCAAGUUCGAGUUAAGCCAUUAAAUUUUUUAAAGCAAAUACUUAAAGGUAAAUUUUAUAUAAAUAUGUACAAAAUGUAGAUCUAUUUAUUUAGCACUUUGUUCUCUCAGAUAAAUUUAUAGUGCAUAUCUAAUAAGAUAUGCAAGUAUCUCCAAAAAUUAUAACUCCUAUAAUUCAAAACAAAACAAAACAACCCUUUAAAGGUUAUUCACUGUAUGAAAACAGAAAGGGAACAAUUACAACAAUGAAAUUGUUUUAACUUUUUCAAAUCUGAUUCUAAUGUGCAUUGACAUAUAUUUAAUUGUAGAAAAGACUGGGGGAAAGGGGCGUAACAGUACUCUAGCAGAGUAAAGGAUAAAAAUCCCUCUUUUUCCCCUAGCUUCCAGUUUGACAAGAGGGAAUACUUAAUCGAAUCCUGUCCACCAAAACAGCUAAUAGUACUGUGCUUUGGAAAAAAAACCUGACUUCAUAUAAUUCUUAAUACAUCCUGUGCUGCUGUUGGUUUUAAGACUUCUAGCAGUAGCUAUAGGUUCCAGUCUGGCACUUCAGGUAUUUUUUUAAAUGACCAAAACGUGCUCUAAAAUGAAAGUUAAAAUGUUAUCAUAUUUUCUGAGAUUCUUGAAGCAGAUUGUCAGAUGAAACUCGUU
rnacentral:lncRNA from 1 species